rnacentral:lncRNA from 1 species
UUCCCGCCCCAGCGGCUAACCGCAUCAAGAUAUACGGAUUUGUUUUUGACUGGCAUUUGUCUUUCAGGUGUCGCAUAUGUGUGCCUUGCCUCUGAUAGCUGACUACUGUGCUUGGUAGCCACAUUGACUGCACGCACGACCACUCACAAUCCCGGACGAAUUAUAACGGUCAUCACGGUCUGCGACUACUGUGGGCCCACCGACUACAAGCCCUGAUCACAAUAAAUCUUGUAGAACUCUG